CCUACGGGUGGCAGCAGUGAGGAAUAUUGGUCAAUGGACGAGAGUCUGAACCAGCCAAGUAGCGUGAAGGAUGACUGCCCUAUGGGUUGUAAACUUCUUUUAUAUGGGAAUAAAAUGUUCCACGUGUGGGAUUUUGUAUGUACCAUAUGAAUAAGGAUCGGCUAACUCCGUGCCAGCAGCCGCGGUAAUACGGAGGAUCCGAGCGUUAUCCGGAUUUAUUGGGUUUAAAGGGAGCGUAGGUGGAUUGUUAAGUCAGUUGUGAAAGUUUGCGGCUCAACCGUAAAAUUGCAGUUGAAACUGGCAGUCUUGAGUACAGUAGAGGUGGGCGGAAUUCGUGGUGUAGCGGUGAAAUGCUUAGAUAUCACGAAGAACUCCGAUUGCGAAGGCAGUUCACUGGACUGCAACUGACACUGAGGCUCGAAAGUGUGGGUAUCAAACAGGAUUAGACACCCUAGUAGUC
rnacentral:rRNA from 1 species